rnacentral:tRNA from 1 species
CGAGAUGUAGCGCAGUUGGUAGCGCACUACGUUCGGGACGUAGGGGUCGUCCGUUCGAGUCGGAUCAUCUCGA